UUUCCGUAGGUGAACCUGCGGAAGGAUCAUUAUUGUAUAACCGAGGUGCGAGGGCUGUCGCUGACCCGAAAGGUCGUGCACGCCCGAGUGCCCUCACACACAUCCAUCUCACCCCUAUGUGCACCACCGCGUGGGUCCCCCUUUGGCUUGUUCGGAGGGGGGCUUACGUUUUCACACAAACUUUGUAUGCAGUGUAGAAUGUAUUUUUUGUUUUUGCGAUCACGCAAUCAAUACAACUUUCAACAACGGAUCUCUUGGCUCUCGCAUCGUUGAAGAACGAGC
rnacentral:misc_RNA from 1 species